AAGGAGCUGGCGGUUUUCUUUUGCAUCGUUUAUAAUGGUGCUCAAACAUUUAAAGCCAUUUUUUGAGGGAUGUUUUCAUAGGCAACUCAUUUUGGUAUCAUCUCCAAAUUCAUUUUGAUGACAGAGAGUACCAUAAUGGCUGUGGUUAACAGAUGUCUGAAGGUCCUCUUCAUUGGAAUAAACAUCAUACACAUAAUUUUAGCUGGUGUGAUUUUUACACUAGCUAUUAUGCUGGGCACUUACAUAACAAAUCAGUUUCAGGGCCAGGGACAAGAUGCGGGGCUUGGACUGAUACAAGCACCAAUCUGGCUACUGGGUUCAGGUGUCUUGGUGGUGGCCAGCCUUGGUAUCCAUGGUGCCAGAAAAGAGAAGAAGUGGCCCCUGAUCUCGUUUAUUACAGCAAAUGCGAUUUGUCUGACCAUAAUGCUAAUGCAGGGGGCACAGUUUGCCAAAACAAAAAUACUGUGGAGCCAGUUGAGCCAGUUGAGGCCCAACGGCCCAAAUUAUGCUUGGAGUCUCGAUGCUGGAUUGGCUGUCAGCUUUAGCCUUGCUGCCUUAUGGUUCACUGGGAUUAUCCUGGCAGCCAUGAUCAUGCAUCAGCUCCACAGCCGGCAGCCUGCCAUGUCAGAUGUUGAGGGUAAACCCCCAGGAUACUCUCAGAUGUUGAGGGUGAACCCCCAGGAUACUCUCAGAUGUUGAGGGUGAACCCCCAGGAUACUCUCAGAUGU
ensembl:lncRNA